GGUUAGCUCAGUUGGGAGAGCGCCGGUCUGCCGAGCGGGAGGUCGCGGGUUCAAA
rnacentral:tRNA from 1 species